AAUCAACGCUGGCGGCGUGCCUAACACAUGCAAGUCGAACGCGAAAGUCCCGCAAGGGAUGAGUAGAGUGGCAAACGGGUGAGUAACACGUGGGUGACCUGCCUUCGAGCGGGGGAUAACGUCCCGAAAGGGACGCUAAUACCGCAUGACAUCCUGCCUUUGAAGAGGUGGAGAUCAAAGCUGGGGAUCGCAAGACCUAGCACUCGAAGAGGGGCCCGCGCCUGAUUAGCUAGUUGGUGGGGUAACGGCUCACCAAGGCGACGAUCAGUAGCCGGCCUGAGAGGGCGGACGGCCACACUGGGACUGAGACACGGCCCAGACUCCUACGGAGGCAGCAGUGGGAAUUGUUCGCAAUGGGCGCAAGCCUGACGACGCAACGCC
rnacentral:rRNA from 1 species